rnacentral:rRNA from 1 species
CCACGGGAGGCUGCAGUGGGGAAUAUUGGACAAUGGGCGAAAGCCUGAUCCAGCCAUGCCGCGUGUGUGAAGAAGGCCUUCGGGUUGUAAAGCACUUUCAGUGGGGAAGAAAGCCUUGGGGCUAAUACCCUCGAGGAAGGACAUCACCCACAGAAGAAGCACCGGCUAACUCCGUGCCAGCAGCCGCGGUAAUACGGAGGGUGCGAGCGUUAAUCGGAAUUACUGGGCGUAAAGCGCGCGUAGGCGGUCUGAUAAGCCGGUUGUGAAAGCCCCGGGCUCAACCUGGGAACGGCAUCCGGAACUGUCAGGCUAGAGUGCAGGAGAGGAAGGUAGAAUUCCCGGUGUAGCGGUGAAAUGCGUAGAGAUCGGGAGGAAUACCAGUGGCGAAGGCGGCCUUCUGGACUGACACUGACGCUGAGGUGCGAAAGCGUGGGUAGCAAACAGGAUUACAUACCCCAGUAGUC